rnacentral:snoRNA from 1 species
CACAGUCCCAGCUCCGCAUAGCAAUGUUUGAUGUGUCUAUGCGGCGUUUUUUGGCUGUAAAAUGAAUGUAUUGACUCAUAUUAUAUCAUUGUUGACUGGCUUGAAUAACCAAUCGAUGAAAACGUAUGCGCCACACUA